rnacentral:tRNA from 1 species
GCAGAUAUAGCUCAGUGGUUGAGCGCUUGCUUCUCAUGUACGAGGUCCUGGGUUCAAUCCCCGGUACCUGUA